GAUCCUGGCUCAGGACGAACGCUGGCGGCUCGCCUAACACAUGCAAGUCGAACGGAGUUGUGUUGAAAGCUUGCUGGAUAUACAACUUAGUGGCGGACGGGUGAGUAACACGUGAGUAACCUGCCUCUCAGAGUGGAAUAACGUUUGGAAACGAACGCUAAUACCGCAUAACGUGAGAAGAGGGCAUCCUCUUUUUACCAAAGAUUUAUCGCUGAGAGAUGGGCUCGCGGCCGAUUAGGUAGUUGGUG
rnacentral:rRNA from 1 species